CCUACGGGAGGCAGCAGUGGGGAAUAUUGCACAAUGGGGGAAACCCUGAUGCAGCGACGCCGCGUGAGUGAGGAAGUAUUUCGGUACGUAAAGCUCUAUCAGCAGGGAAGAAAAUGACGGUACCUGACUAAGAAGCCCCGGCUAACUACGUGCCAGCAGCCGCGGUAAUACGUAGGGGGCAAGCGUUAUCCGGAUUUACUGGGUGUAAAGGGAGCGUAGACGGUUAAUCAAGUCAGAAGUGAAAUGCCAGGGCUCAACCUUGGGACUGCUUUUGAAACUGAGGAGCUAGAGUGCAGGAGAGGUAAGCGGAAUUCCUGGUGUAGCGGUGAAAUGCGUAGAUAUUAGGAGGAACACCAGUGGCGAAGGCGGCUUACUGGACUGUAACUGACGUUGAGGCUCGAAGGCGUGGGGAGCAAACAGGAUUAGAUACCCCUGUAGUC
rnacentral:rRNA from 1 species